UAGCUAACUGAAAUCAUAGUUGUGUCAACUGUGAUANGGUAAGGNACAAUAAUGAUAUYAUCUUACUAUUAGUGUCGUCCAAAUACUAGUGCCAGAAGACUCGGUAAGGCUAGAGACGCAAACGUUAGUCAUCUUUAACAGGCGUAAAGGGUUUGUAGGCUGCUUUAAAAAUUUUAUAAAUUUUUCCUUAUGCUAUCACACAUAUUUGAUAUAUAUAUUAUAUAUAAAUAAGAAAAUUAUAGAAUGAAUUAAAGCUAGAAUCAAGNNNNNNNNANNNNAAAUAAUACUUAGAGUAGGAUUGACAACUAUAAAUCCUAAGUGGAAUAUUAAUGGCGAAAGCUUUUUUCUAUUACUGAUUGACGCUGAGAAACUAAGGGGAGGAAAGAAAAAAGGAUUAGAGACCCUCGUAUCCCUCUCUGUCAACGAUGAAUGGUAGUUACUAGAUUAUUAAAACUAGGGACGAUGUUAACACGAAAACCAUUCCGCCUUGUGAGUACGACUGCAAAGUUGAAAACAAAAAAAUUAGUCGGUU
rnacentral:rRNA from 1 species